rnacentral:rRNA from 1 species
GAGUAGCGAGACGUGGGUGAGAAUCCCACGGGCCGUAAACCCAAGGUUUCCAGGGGAAGGUUCGUCCGCCCUGGGUUAGUCGGGACCUAAGCCGAGGCCGAAAGGCGUAGGUGAUGGACAACAGGUUGAUAUUCCUGUACCGCCAAUAAGCGUUUGAGAGAUGGAGUGACACAGUAGGAUAAGCUAACCGUACUGUUGGUUAUGUACGGCUAAGCAUUGAGGCAGUCUAAAUAGGCAAAUCCGUUUGGACAAUGCUAGGAUGUGAUGGGGAAGCCCUCCUGGGCGAAGUAGCUGAUUUCACACUGUCAAGAAAAGCUUCUAUCGAGUUUAAAGGCGCCCGUACCGUAAACCGACACAGGUGGGUGAGGAGAGUAUCCUAAGGCCAGCGAGAGAACUAUUGUUAAGGAACUCGGCAAAAUGACCCCGUAACUUAGGGAGAAGGGGUGCCUGUCUAUGACAGGCCGCAGAGAAUAGGCCCAAGCGACUGUUUACCAAAAACACAGGUUUCUGCUAAGUCGCAAGACGAUGUAUAGGAGCUGACGCCUGCCCGGUGCUGGAAGGUUAAGGGGAUCUGUUAGAGCAAUCGAAGCAGUGAACUUAAGCCCCAGUAAACGGCGGCCGUAACAAUAACGGUCCUAAGGUAGCGAAAUUCCUUGUCGGGUAAGUUCCGACCCGCACGAAAGGCGUAACGAUUUGGGCACUGUCUCAACAAUAGACUCGGUGAAAUUGUAAUCCCGGUGAAGAUGCCGGGUACCUGCGACAGGACGGAAAGACCCCAUGGAGCUUUACUGUAGCUUGACGUUGGGUCUUGGUACUACAUGUACAGGAUAGGUGGGAGACUAUGAAGCAUGGACGCCAGUCUGUGUGGAGUCAUCCUUGGGAUACCACCCUUGUAGUACUGGGAUCCUAACCAUAGGCCUUGAAUCAGGUCUUGGAACACCGUCAGGUGGGCAGUUUGACUGGGGCGGUCGCCUCCUAAAAAGUAACGGAGGCGCUCAAAGGUUUCCUCAGCACGGUCGGAAAUCGUGCGAAGAGUGUAAAGGCAAAAGGAAGCUUGAUUGCAAGACAUACAGGUCGAGCAAGGACGAAAGUCGGACUUAGUGAUCCGGUGGUACCGCAUGGAAGGGCCAUCGCUCAACGGAUAAAAGCUACCCUGGGGAUAACAGGCUUAUCUCCCCCAAGAGUCCACAUCGACGGGGAGGUUUGGCACCUCGAUGUCGGCUCAUCACAUCCUGGGGCUGUAGUAGGUCCCAAGGGUUGGGCUGUUCGCCCAUUAAAGUGGUACGCGAGCUGGGUUCAGAACGUCGUGAGACAGUUCGGUCCCUAUCCGUCGCAGGCGUAGGAAAUUUGAGAAGACCUGUCCUUAGUACGAGAGGACCGGGAUGGACGUACCUCUGGUGUACCAGUUGUUCUGCCAAGGGCAUGGCUGGGUAGCUAUGUACGGAAUGGAUAAGCGCUGAAAGCAUCUAAGCGCGAAGCCAACUUCAAGAUAAGAUUUCCCACCGUAAGGGUAAGACCCCAGGAAGACUACCUGGUUGAUAGGUCGAAGGUGUAAGUGCAGUAAUGUAUUUAGCUUAUCGAUACUAAUAGGUCGAGGACUUGAUC